rnacentral:rRNA from 1 species
GACGAACGCUGGCGGCGUGCUUAACACAUGCAAGUCGAACGGAAAGGCCCUGCUUUUGUGGGGUGCUCGAGUGGCGAACGGGUGAGUAACACGUGAGUAACCUGCCCUUGACUUUGGGAUAACUUCAGGAAACUGGGGCUAAUACCGGAUAGGAGCUCCUGCUGCAUGGUGGGGGUUGGAAAGUUUCGGCGGUUGGGGAUGGACUCGCGGCUUAUCAGCUUGUUGGUGGGGUAGUGGCUUACCAAGGCUUUGACGGGUAGCCGGCCUGAGAGGGUGACCGGCCACAUUGGGACUGAGAUACGGACCAGACUCCUACGGGAGGCAGCAGUGGGGAAUAUUGCACAAUGGGCGGAAGCCUGAUGCAACAGCGCCGCGUGCGGGAUGACGGCCUUCGGGUUGUAAACCGCUUUCGCCUGUGACGAAGCGUGAGUGACGGUAAUGGGUAAAGAAGCACCGGCUAACUACGUG